UGGGGAAUAUUGGACAAUGGGCGAAAGCCUGAUCCAGCCAUGCCGCGUGUGUGAAGAAGGUCUUCGGAUUGUAAAGCACUUUAAGUUGGGAGGAAGGGCAUUAACCUAAUACGUUAGUGUUUUGACGUUACCGACAGAAUAAGCACCGGCUAACUCUGUGCCAGCAGCCGCGGUAAUACAGAGGGUGCAAGCGUUAAUCGGAAUUACUGGGCGUAAAGCGCGCGUAGGUGGUCUGUUAAGUUGGAUGUGAAAUCCCCGGGCUCAACCUGGGAACUGCAUUCAAAACUGACUGACUAGAGUAUGGUAGAGGGUGGUGGAAUUUCCUGUGUAGCGGUGAAAUGCGUAGAUAUAUGAAGGAACACCAGUGGCGAAGGCGACCACCUGGACUAAUACUGACACUGAGGUGCGAAAGCGUGGGGAGCAAACA
rnacentral:rRNA from 1 species